GAUGAAGAACGUAGCGAAAUGCGAUACGUAAUGUGAAUUGCAGAAUUCAGUGAAUCAUCGAGUCUUUGAACGCACAUUGUGCCCCCUGGUAUUCCGGGGGGCAUGCCUGUCCGAGCGUCAUUGCUGCCCUCAAGCACGGCUUGUGUGUUGGGCCUCCGUCCUCCUCCCGGGGGACGGGCCCGAAAGGCAGCGGCGGCACCGCGUCCGGUCCUCGAGCGUAUGGGGCUUCGUCACCCGCUCUUGUAGGCCCGGCCGGCGCUUGCCGACACAUCAAUCUUUUUUCCAGGUUGACCUCGGAUCAGGAAGGGAUACCCGCUGAACUUAAGCAUAUCAAUAAGCGGAGGA
rnacentral:misc_RNA from 1 species